rnacentral:rRNA from 1 species
GGUGAGCACUGGGGACUCGGCGUCUCAUGAAUGUCAUAACGACUCUCGGCAACGGAUAUCUCGGCUCUCGCAUCGAUGAAGAACGUAGCGAAAUGCGAUACUUGGUGUGAAUUGCAGAAUCCCGUGAACCAUCGAGUCUUUGAACGCAAGUUGCGCCCGAAGCCAUUAGGCCGAGGGCACGUCUGCCUGGGCGUCACGCA